rnacentral:rRNA from 1 species
AGAGUUUGAUCAUGGCUCAGAUUGAACGCUGGCGGCAGGCCUAACACAUGCAAGUCGAACGGUAGCACAGAGAGCUUGCUCUCGGGUGACGAGUGGCGGACGGGUGAGUAAUGUCUGGGAAACUGCCUGAUGGAGGGGGAUAACUACUGGAAACGGUAGCUAAUACCGCAUAACGUCGCAAGACCAAAGAGGGGGACCUUCGGGCCUCUUGCCAUCAGAUGUGCCCAGAUGGGAUUAGCUAGUAGGUGGGGUAACGGCUCACCUAGGCGACGAUCCCUAGCUGGUCUGAGAGGAUGACCAGCCACACUGGAACUGAGACACGGUCCAGACUCCUACGGGAGGCAGCAGUGGGGAAUAUUGCACAAUGGGCGCAAGCCUGAUGCAGCCAUGCCGCGUGUAUGAAGAAGGCCUUCGGGUUGUAAAGUACUUUCAGCGAGGAGGAAGGUGUUGAGGUUAAUAACCUCAGCAAUUGACGUUACUCGCAGAAGAAGCACCGGCUAACUCCGUGCCAGCAGCCGCGGUAAUACGGAGGGUGCAAGCGUUAAUCGGAAUUACUGGGCGUAAAGCGCACGCAGGCGGUCUGUCAAGUCGGAUGUGAAAUCCCCGGGCUCAACCUGGGAACUGCAUUCGAAACUGGCAGGCUAGAGUCUUGUAGAGGGGGGUAGAAUUCCAGGUGUAGCGGUGAAAUGCGUAGAGAUCUGGAGGAAUACCGGUGGCGAAGGCGGCCCCCUGGACAAAGACUGACGCUCAGGUGCGAAAGCGUGGGGAGCAAACAGGAUUAGAUACCCUGGUAGUCCACGCCGUAAACGAUGUCGACUUGGAGGUUGUGCCCUUGAGGCGUGGCUUCCGGAGCUAACGCGUUAAGUCGACCGCCUGGGGAGUACGGCCGCAAGGUUAAAACUCAAAUGAAUUGACGGGGGCCCGCACAAGCGGUGGAGCAUGUGGUUUAAUUCGAUGCAACGCGAAGAACCUUACCUACUCUUGACAUCCAGAGAACUUUCCAGAGAUGGAUUGGUGCCUUCGGGAACUCUGAGACAGGUGCUGCAUGGCUGUCGUCAGCUCGUGUUGUGAAAUGUUGGGUUAAGUCCCGCAACGAGCGCAACCCUUAUCCUUUGUUGCCAGCGGUUAGGCCGGGAACUCAAAGGAGACUGCCAGUGAUAAACUGGAGGAAGGUGGGGAUGACGUCAAGUCAUCAUGGCCCUUACGAGUAGGGCUACACACGUGCUACAAUGGCGCAUACAAAGAGAAGCGACCUCGCGAGAGCAAGCGGACCUCAUAAAGUGCGUCGUAGUCCGGAUUGGAGUCUGCAACUCGACUCCAUGAAGUCGGAAUCGCUAGUAAUCGUAGAUCAGAAUGCUACGGUGAAUACGUUCCCGGGCCUUGUACACACCGCCCGUCACACCAUGGGAGUGGGUUGCAAAAGAAGUAGGUAGCUUAACCUUCGGGAGGGCGCUUACCACUUUGUGAUUCAUGACUGGGGUGAAGUCGUAACAAGGUAACCGUAGGGGAACCUGCGGUUGGAUCACCU